rnacentral:lncRNA from 1 species
UCAAAAUUGAAUAAUUGGGGUUUUUUGAUAUGUCGAAUCUAACUGUCAUGACUGUGUAUGUAGAUUCUUAACUUUUGGUCCCGUUUUCAAAUUGGUCUACAUUAAGGUCCAAAGGGUCCAAAAUUAAACUUAGUUUGAUUUUGACAAAAAAUGAAUCAGUUAGGUUCUUUGAUAUGCUGAAUCUAAAAAUGUACUUAGAUUCUUGAUUAUUGGCCCAGUUUUCAAGUUGGUCCAAAUCGGGGUCCAAAAUUAAACUUUGUUUGAUUUCAUCAAAAAUUGAAUAAAUGGGUUCUUUGAUAUACCAAAUCUAACUGUGUAUGUAGAUUCUUCAUUUUUGGUCCUGUUUUCAAAUUGGUCUACACUAAAGUCCAAAGGGUCCAAAAUUAAACUUAGUCUGAUUUCAACAAAAAUUGAAAUCUUGGGGUUCUUUGAUAUGCUGAAUCCAAAAAUGUACUUAGAUUUUUUUAUUAUGGGCCCAGUUUUCAAGUUGGUCCAAAUCAGGAUCUAAAAUUAUUAUAUUAAGUGUUGUGCAAUAGCAAGUCUUUUCAAUUGCACAGUAUUGCGCAAUGGCAAGAAAUAUCUAAUUGCACAAUAUUGUGAAAUAGCAAAUUUUUUUUUUAAUUAGAGUUAUCUUUCUUUGUCCAGAAUAGUAAGCAAG